rnacentral:sRNA from 1 species
GCAGUGGCUCUGGCGGUCGUGGCGGUCGGAGAUCCGAGAGCUCUGCUUCUCUGAAAAGCGUGUGGCUUUCUGGACUUGGCCACCCACGAGCCAGCGGGAAAGGAUUGCCAGCCGGAGAAAGACGAACUCCGAAGUCCCAAUGCACAGAUCAGCCCCCAGUCAAACCACCAAGAGGAGCCGAUCGCCAUUUUCCACUACUCGUCGUAGUUGGGACGACAGCGAGAGUUCGGGAACCAACCUGAAUAUUGAUAAUGAGGACUAUUCCAGGUAUCCGCCAAGAGAGUACAGAGCUUCGGGUAGCAGAAGAGGAAUGGCCUAUGGACAUAUUGACUCUUAUGGGGCAGAUGAUAGUGAGGAGGAGGGGGCUGGGCCUGUUGAGCGACCGCCAGUGAGAGGGAAAACUGGCAAGUUUAAAGAUGAUAAGCUGUAUGACCCAGAGAAAGGGGCAAGGUCUUUGGCUGGGCCACCUCCACAUUUCUCUAGUUUUAGCCGUGAUGUGAGAGAGGAGCGAGACAAGUUAGACCCAGUCCCUGCAGCAAGAUGCUCAGCUAGCAGAGCUGACUUCCUGCCACAAAGUAGUGUGGCCUCACAGUCGUCUUCUGAAGGCAAGCUGGCUACAAAAGGUGACAGCUCGGAGAGGGAGAGAAGGGAGCAAAAUUUACCUGCACGUCCCAGCAGGGCUCCUGUGAGUAUUUGUGGUGGUGGGGAAAACACCUCAAAGAGUGCAGAGGAACCUGUGGUCAGGCCCAAAAUCAGAAACCUGGCAAGUCCAAACUGCGUGAAACCAAAAAUUUUUUUUGAUACUGAUGAUGAUGACGAUAUGCCACACAGUACUUCCAGGUGGAGGGAUACCGCCAAUGACAAUGAAGUCCACUCGGAUGGCCUGG